ACGAUGUCCAGCCGAGGCGCGGCCGAGGCCUGCUGGGCCGCGUGGGCGACCGCCUGCGCGUCCUGCAGGUUCGCCACCCGCACGGCGAAC
rnacentral:tRNA from 1 species